rnacentral:lncRNA from 1 species
UCAUUUUUACAUCAUAAUUCAUUAAUGUUGCUGAAACAACAACAACAUCAUCGUGGGGAGUUUGAAUUCCUCGAGCAUCUUCCUCCGAGAAGAUUAUUACAUCAUGGAGUUUUGGUCACUUCAUUGACUCCUCGUCGGAAGUUGCCCCCCGAUCCAACCGUCUGGUGAUCAUGUUGAUGACUCCCGCGGUCGGUUGGUUAUUCACAGCUUCCUCAGUUGUUUGG